rnacentral:rRNA from 1 species
CGUAGGUGGCAAGCGUUGUCCGGAAUUAUUGGGCGUAAAGCGCGCGCAGGCGGUCCUUUAAGUCUGAUGUGAAAGCCCACGGCUCAACCGUGGAGGGUCAUUGGAAACUGGGGGACUUGAGUACAGAAGAGAAGAGUGGAAUUCCACGUGUAGCGGUGAAAUGCGUAGAGAUGUGGAGGAACACCAGUGGCGAAGGCGACUCUUUGGUCUGUAACUGACGCUGAGGCGCGAAAGCGUGGGGAGCAAACAGGAUUAGAUACCCUGGUAGUCCACGCAGUAAACGAUGAGUGCUAAGUGUUAGAGGGUUUCCGCCCUUUAGUGCUGCAGCUAACGCAUUAAGCACUCCGCCUGGGGAGUACGGCCGCAAGGCUG